rfam:Rachicladosporium sp. CCFEE 5018 unplaced genomic scaffold Supercontig_55, whole genome shotgun sequence.
GCCCGCUUGGCUUAGUGGUACAGCGUGUCACUCGUAUUCUGCGAUAUAUGACAAGAUCAUUGGUUCGAUUCCAGUAGUGUACG